GAUCCUGGCUCAGGAUGAACGCUGGCGGCGUGCUUAACACAUGCAAGUCGAACGAUUGAAGCUGGAGCUUGCUCCGGCCGAUUUAGUGGCGGACGGGUGAGUAACGCGUGGGUAACCUGCCUCAUACAGGGGGGAUAGCAGUUGGAAACGACUGGUAAAACCGCAUAAGCGCACGGUGUCGCAGUGACACAGUGUGAAAACACUCCGGUGGUAUGAGAUGGACCCGCGUCUGAUUAG
rnacentral:rRNA from 1 species